GACGAACGCUGGCGGCGUGCUUAACACAUGCAAGUCGAACGGAGUGGCGAACGGGUGAGUAACACGUGGGUGACCUGCCCUGCACUUCGGGAUAAGCCUGGGAAACUGGGUCUAAUACCGGAUAGUGUGGGAUGGGCCCGCGGCCGAUCAGCGUGUUGGUGGGGUAAUGGCCUACCAAGGCGGCGACGGGUAGCCGGCCUGAGAGGGUGGACGGCCACAUGGGGCUGGAGUCACGGCCCAGACUCCUACGGGAGGCAGCAGUGGGGAAGAUUGCACAAUGGGCGGACGGCUGAUGCAGCGCAUCCGGGUGGGGGAUGACGGCCUUCGGGUUGUAAACUUCUUUCACCAUCGACGCGGUAGAUGGAGAAUAAGCACCGGCUAACUACGUGCCAGCAGCCGCGGUAAUUC
rnacentral:rRNA from 1 species